CGGGGUGUGGCGCAGCUUGGUAGCGCGCGUCGUUCGGGACGACGAGGCCGCAGGUUCAAAUCCUGUCACCCCG
rnacentral:tRNA from 1 species